ACUUCCAAAGGAUAACAGUUAUCCACUAAUCUUAGGCAUUAGCCUAACU
rnacentral:tRNA from 1 species